CAUAAAACAAAUCACAUGUGCAUUUGAUCCAGUGAGAUUUCCACCAAUUCAGAACUUGUUCCCAAACUUUCGGAGGCAGCUCAUGGCAAUGAGCUCUCUGGGCUCCCCUUCCCCUCCAGCUGUGCCGUCAUGCUGAGUGGACCACAUCUAACGCUGCUGAUGGAGGGGCAGUUCCUGGAGCUGGGCUGUGGUUUGACUCUGUGGCUACAGAACCAGACAGCAUAUCAGAAUCCCUCCUCCCGACCUCAGAUGAUGAAACAAAGCUCAGGGAGUCGUGGGAACUGCCCCUGACACACAGCAAGCUGGCCACAGCACUCAGACACAGCUUCUGCCACGCUGCGGGGAUGAGAGGACCUUGUCAUGAAGCUCCAGUGUGAGGCAGAGCACACGUUCAAGGCCAGAGCUGGCUCUGAGAUCCCCCGAAUAAAAGGCUCAGUGUUGUUCUGGUUA